CAUUUUUGCUUCAUUUUGCGUCGUACAAGUAAGAAGGUGGAUGGCGUCCCUUUGUUAAAGAAAAAGUGAUUGUGUUUCCCGUUAAUUUUUGAAAAAUUUUUUCGCAGAGUGUGUGUAAAACAAACAAUUUAUCGAGGGGAAGGUUUUAAAGAAGAACCGACGAUGGCGUCGGAACAAUUUUCGUUAUGUUGGGACAAUUUCCACAAGAAUAUGAGUUCGGGAAUGAACUCAUUGCUGGAAAAUGAAGAUUUGGUGGAUGUAACGCUAGCCGUCGAGGGCAAGUGCCUGAAAGCUCAUAAGAUGGUUUUGUCAGUGUGUAGUCCUUAUUUCAAAGAACUUUUUAAGUCUAAUCCGUGUCAGCAUCCUAUCGUAUUUAUGAAGGACGUUAGUUACGUAGCUUUAAGUGAUUUAUUACAAUUUAUGUACCAAGGAGAAGUACAAGUUAGUCAAGAAAAUUUAACUACCUUUAUUAAGACUGCAGAGGCCUUGCAAAUUAAAGGACUCACCGGUGACGGCAAUGGCUCCGCCGACACCGACCCCAUCGAAACCCCCCAGGAGAAACCUGUGCACCAAAUCGAGGAGUACAAACCCAUGCCUCGACCUAAAAAGCAACAACCGGCCACGGUAACCACACAGUCAACCCCUGUAAAACGCCCCCGCCUUAGUGUCUCAUCGACAGAUUCCCAACCACUGCCUCCUGCAGUAGCGAAAUCAGAGCCGGUUGCCUCUGUACCUUCCGGGGGUAGUAGCGAACCUGUACAGUUUAAAAUGGAACCCUAUGACCAAACACAGUCUUUGAUAGAUGAAACUGGUGAUGAAAAUUUCGGUGAUGAUAACUUGGACGAUGCGAAUGUUGAUGACACGGAGGACUAUUCUAUGAUGGAAGGUGGUACGGGUGAGGAGGAACCACAGGCCGGAACGAGUACGGACGGAGCUGGAGAAGGACAAGAAGACCAGCGAAAAAAGAAAUCUGGCUACGCAAAAUAUGGGUAUCAGAAGCCUCAGAUACCGCUAGGAAGGGCAGGAAAGUUAGAUUUUGGGGAUGGAUUUUUGUAUGUUAAAAAGAUACAAUGUACACCUCAAAAAUUAUAUGUAAGGUGUGCUAUGAAGUACGAAACAGGUUGCAAAGGAUCCUAUGCAGUGCCAGUUAAUAGCGAUGGAAGUUAUAAUACAGAAAAUAUGAGAUGUAUUACUCCACACAACCAUCCCCCAAAUGAACUGGCUGUUAGAACUGAAAAGUUCUUGGGCGAACUGCUGAAAGCGGUUGAAGUAAUGUCCGGAACAACUCGCGAUAUUUAUAACUUCGUAGCGCAAUCUUUCCCAGAUGUCGCGAGGGUUUAUAGUUAUCAAAGUGUUGUUCCCAGAAUGCAUCGUUGGCUGAAAAAGCUGAAGGAAAAUCGUACAUAAUAUUGUACCUGUCUUUUGUGCAGUUAUAUUGCUUUUUUAUUAAAGUGCUUUGUAAAUAAUUCAGAGUUUAAUAAUCCAUUUAGUCUUAUAUGAUUUUCAACCUAAUAACAGUCAAUCAAAGCAUAUAGCACUGAUUAACCAAGCUAGAUCAGAAUGAAUCGUUUUCAAAAGCUCACAAGAGACACUCAAAGCUGGACUUUAACGAUGGAUUUCUUUACUU